rnacentral:rRNA from 1 species
GUGCUUGCACUGGGGAUUAGUGGCGAACGGGUGAGUAACACGUGAGUAACCUGCCCUUGACUCUGGGAUAAGCCUGGGAAACUGGGUCUAAUACCGGAUAUGACCUUCCAUCGCAUGGUGGUUGGUGGAAAGCUUUUGUGGUUUUGGAUGGACUCGCGGCCUAUCAGCUUGUUGGUGGGGUAAUGGCCUACCAAGGCGACGACGGGUAGCCGGCCUGAGAGGGUGACCGGCCACACUGGGACUGAGACACGGCCCAGACUCCUACGGGAGGCAGCAGUGGGGAAUAUUGCACAAUGGGCGGAAGCCUGAUGCAGCGACGCCGCGUGAGGGAUGACGGCCUUCGGGUUGUAAACCUCUUUCAGUAGGGAAGAAGCGAAAGUGACGGUACCUGCAGAAGAAGCGCCGGCUAACUACGUGCCAGCAGCCGCGGUAAUACGUAGGGCGCAAGCGUUAUCCGGAAUUAUUGGGCGUAAAGAGCUCGUAGGCGGUUUGUCGCGUCUGCCGUGAAAGUCCGGGGCUCAACUCCGGAUCUGCGGUGGGUACGGGCAGACUAGAGUGAUGUAGGGGAGACUGGAAUUCCUGGUGUAGCGGUGAAAUGCGCAGAUAUCAGGAGGAACACCGAUGGCGAAGGCAGGUCUCUGGGCAUUAACUGACGCUGAGGAGCGAAAGCAUGGGGAGCGAACAGGAUUAGAUACCCUGGUAGUCCAUGCCGUAAACGUUGGGCACUAGGUGUGGGGGACAUUCCACGUUUUCCGCGCCGUAGCUAACGCAUUAAGUGCCCCGCCUGGGGAGUACGGCCGCAAGGCUAAAACUCAAAGGAAUUGACGGGGGCCCGCACAAGCGGCGGAGCAUGCGGAUUAAUUCGAUGCAACGCGAAGAACCUUACCAAGGCUUGACAUGAACCGGUAAUACCUGGAAACAGGUGCCCCGCUUGCGGUCGGUUUACAGGUGGUGCAUGGUUGUCGUCAGCUCGUGUCGUGAGAUGUUGGGUUAAGUCCCGCAACGAGCGCAACCCUCGUUCUAUGUUGCCAGCACGUGAUGGUGGGGACUCAUAGGAGACUGCCGGGGUCAACUCGGAGGAAGGUGGGGACGACGUCAAAUCAUCAUGCCCCUUAUGUCUUGGGCUUCACGCAUGCUACAAUGGCCGGUACAAAGGGUUGCGAUACUGUGAGGUGGAGCUAAUCCCAAAAAGCCGGUCUCAGUUCGGAUUGGGGUCUGCAACUCGACCCCAUGAAGUCGGAGUCGCUAGUAAUCGCAGAUCAGCAACGCUGCGGUGAAUACGUUCCCGGGCCUUGUACACACCGCCCGUCAAGUCACGAAAGUUGGUAACACCCGUAGCCG